AUUGAACGCUGGCGGCAUGCUUUACGCAUGCAAGUCGAACGGUAACAGGGUGCUUGCACCGCUGACGAGUGGCGAACGGGUGAGUAAUGCGUCGGAACGUGCCGAGUAGUGGGGGAUAACGCAGCGAAAGUUGUGCUAAUACCGCAUACGUACUGAGGUAGAAAGUGGGGGACCUUCGGGCCUCACGCUAUUCGAGCGGCCGACGUCUGAUUAGCUAGUAGGUGAGGUAAAGGCUCACCUAGGCGACGAACAGUAGCGGGUCUGAGAGGAUGAUCGGCCACGCUGGGACUGAGACACGGCCCAGACUCCUACGGGAGGCAGCAGUGUGGAAUUUUGGACAAUGGGCGCAAGCCUGAUCCAGCCAUGCCGCGUGUCUGAAGAAGGCCUUCGGGUUGUAAAGGACUUUUGUCCGGGAGCAAAUGCUGGUGGCUAACAUCCACCGGAGCUGAGAGUACCGGAAGAAUAAGCACCGGCUAACUACGUGCCAGCAGCCGCAGUAACAC
rnacentral:rRNA from 1 species